UAUGUACACAUCUAUACAUGUAUGUGCACACUCAUGCAUAUAUAUGAACAUGUGUAUUUAAAUACAUGCACACACAUUCACAUAUGCAUACAUGCACA
rnacentral:miRNA from 1 species